CAAACAAAAAGCUAAAAUAUAUUUCUCCCCAGGAUGAGUUGCUACCAAUGCAGAAUAUUCAAAGCAAGCUAAAUCAAAACUUUUAUAUAAUUCAAGUGAAAAAAUCAUUCUCCCGCACUUCUCAAGCAACAUCUGAAAAAUUGUACAUUUUGUCUUGCACUGAAAAAGGAAACAUGGUGCAUUCUCUCCCUGAAUCACCAAAACUGACAUUGAAGAAGGUAGCAAAAGGAAAAAGAAACAUUUAGUUUCCUUUGAUGAAGAAACAGAAGUACCAACCGAGCGACGUCACUCGCUCAAGCUGAAACAAAAACUGGAGCCAACAACUCCAGUAAAAAAGAAAUAAGGAUAACCUUUUUUUUUGCAAUCACUUUUGCGUUUUGCGGAACAUAGUUCUUUUGUAGGGAAAUCAAUUCUCUUUUGAAACUUGCUUUUGACUUUUUGUCUUGCAACUAGAUGUUCCAACAACAUAUAUAUCCAUCAAACAAAGGUACUAUUUUGGAAUAAACAUGGAUCCAAUACCAGCGAGUGAGUCAGAAAUGAUGCACUACUUGCAAGAACAGGAUGAUCACAAUUGUCGUCAUCAUCGUUAUCAUGGUUUGCACCUUAUAAGUAGAUCAUCAUGAGCAUGAUGAUAAUGGUGUGGCUGCUGCUGGGGGUGACAAUUCUGCUGAUCCUGGAAAUCUGUCUGAUAACCACAAUGGGAUGGCAGUUAGUUUGCCACCCAAACCAUUGCAGGGACUGUUCUUUGAAGUACGCUAAUUUGGUUGCUUCAGAAAAACAUGCUGAUGUUUACUACGGCAUUGCAACUAGUUAAUACCCAGAUGCAAUUUCUACAGUCAACUACAGCUACUUGAAUCCAGAUUGUAGCCCCUUACACAAAGAACAUCAAAAAUUUCAUAACUUUUCUCUUUCUGACAAACUUGGCAAUGUAAUAGUAUAACUUUGUUUCGCACAAUAUGAAGUAUAUUAUCUUUAUGUGAAGCAUAUUUAACUUGA